rnacentral:lncRNA from 1 species
AAUUCUUGAAUUGGGAAUGUAGUAGGAAUACAUGAAGCAGGAGUGCGCGAAGUAGGAAUUCACGGAAUAGGAAUACGCGAAUUAAGAAUCCACGAGACAGGAGUGCGCGAAGUAAGAAUUCACGAAUUAGGAAUGCGCGAAGCAAGAAAGACCCGUCACUGGACCGCGCCGUUCCCCCAGACCGCAGCGCUCCCGCAGCUGGUGGGCCCCCUGCCCCCCCGACACCCACUAGGUGCGCUGGCCGAGUGGCUGCAGCGUCCCCGUGUUCCCGAAGCUCCCCGUCAGAGCAGGCUCGAGUCUCCACGACCCUCUCCCCCCGAAGGCGACCGCGCGGCCUCACACGACCUCCCCGCCGAGGGACACCCGUGUGCGCCGCCGCGUUCCUGACGACUCACCAAACCGCCCCCGACCCCACGUUCGUUUGUCUGUCGUCGUCGUGUUCUGUGUAUCUUUCCCUUCGUGUUUGUGAAGGUGUUUGUAUACUACCCCUCCCCCCUCCCCCCCCCCCCUCCCCGCGCUCCCCGUGUGUGUCCCGUGUAUCAUCCCCGCCUGCGUGUAAAAGCAAGUGUCGUCGCAGUUCAUCCCGGGCGUGCGUGCGUGCAGGCACAGCCCAUGUUUUUCACUCGAUAGGCAGGCCAGGGGGCGCCGGUAUCCCCCCCCUGCCAGUACACCUCCUUCCCCUAACCUCAGCGCUCCUACGAGAGUCCCUGACAGCAGGCUGUCUAGGGGAACUUUACACGCCCCUUUGAAGUCCCUCAGCGCCCUUCGUCCUCGUCAGCAGUCGUCUCCGCGUCCAGUUGAUGUGACUAAACGGUCUCCCAGACACGAAAGAAGUGAAAAACAACGGAAAAACUUCUCGAUUCGUGAAAGGAGGCGACCAAGCACGCCCCAAAAGCACGAAAGAGCACCACGCCAGAGGUGGACGAGUCUCGUCGACCUCCCGAACUCGCCGUGUCCCUGCCUUCCCCGCCCGCGGCUCCUCCCCGCCCGCGGUUCUCAAGGCGAGGCUUCCCGAGCCGUCGCGUCCGAGUCGGAUAUUUUGUUGCGCAUUUGUUUCUUCCUUUGUCCUACGCCCUCAUCCUGCCCUUUUUUCCCUAUUCCCAUCCCUCUUUUCUUCCCUCCUUCCCCAUCUCCCUUAGGGAACAGAAGAGGAGGAGAAAGAAGGAGAAGAAGAGGAGGGAAGAAGAAGGGGGAAGACGCCCCAGAAGAAUUCAAACCAAAAAUUCUCACCCGCCGGGAGGACCCAAGAGGAAAAAAACCCUCCCACAAAAAAGCGAAAGAUAAGGAAAAUUAGCCCAAGGAAUAGAGGAAAAGGACACAAGAAGAGGAAAACCCCAAAAGACGAAGACGAGAGAACCUUGAAACCCCCUGACAGCGACCUCCUUGGCUGGUGGCGAAGAGUGUUCGUCCCGGCCCGCAAUGUUGCCAUGCGCCUGCACACUCGAAACGACAAAGGAAAAAAAGUGUUACCAAGUAAAUGCUAACAGAAGCCGUCCUUGCUCGCUCUCACGUGCCCAGACUGCGCGAGGGAGAGGGCGAUCUUUUUUUUUUUCUCUACAUAUCGGAUUUUCUACAUCACCUACAACGACAAUGUGAAGAGACUUCUUCACGACCGACUUCUUACUGGAAUUACGUAGAACGGACGGCCGCGGUGGGGUGGGGCAGAGCCGGAGGAGGAGACGGUCACUCAACUCACAACUCUAACUCUGGCAAACUCUGAUGAUGAUGAUGAUGAUAAUGAUGGUGAUUAGUGAUGAUAAUGAUGACUGAUGGUGAUGAGCCAAACCAAAAAAAAAAACGAAAUUAGGGAAACGUGAAGAAAAGAAAAAAAAAAUCUGAGACGUCACCGAAGGUAGAAGAUGGAUGAAAAAAAAUGGAUGCUAAUCUAUCGAGAUUAUCUAUUUUUGGAAAGAUGUAAUUUUUUUAAAAGCAUUUUUCCGACUCACGCUGCCCACCACACUACCGCCACACUCGAUCACACACUAGCUUUUUAUUUUCGACGACUUGAAGCGAAAAAAAAAAACGAACGCUUUUUUAUUUUCAUUUUUUGUCCCAACGACGAAAGAGAUUUUCCGAUUUUCCAAAAAAAAUGAGGAAAAGUCUCUUCCCUUCCGAAAAAAAAAAUAUAUUUUCCUUUCCUUUUCCCCUUCCAUUUUUUUAUUACCAAACGACGCCCCUUUAGAAGAGACCGCGCGCCCAAACAUUUUUUUUUUUUUCUCCUUAUCAUAUUUUCCUCAUUCCCUCAUCCCCCCCAUUUGUUUUCUUUAUUUUCAUUUAUAAAUCCCUUAUUUUCGUUUUCAACCCCGACCCCCUAUACCCCCCAAGCCCUCCCCACAACCCCCAUCCCCCCUGGCCACCGAGAACGCGCGGACCUUUGCCUGCGCGCCAGUAGGCCUGGUCCCGCCUUCCGUGCCGCGUCCGCCCCGCCGUCGCCGCCGCGCCGCCGCUCGCCUCCGCCGCGCGCCGCCCUGGCCUUGGCGACUGGCGAGCGGGCGGGCGAGUGCGUGCGGGCGUGCACGCAGGCAACAUUCCACGUGCCAGGGGAGGGCAGGGAGGGAGGGCAGGGGAGGGGGAGGGAGGGGCGCGCAGGUCUUGGGUGACGAAGAUAACCAACAAAGACCGGAAGGCCCUCGGAGUCUUCUGCCUGCGUCCCUCAAGCAGGAAUACCAUAAUUAGACGUACUGUAUACAUCUUGUAUUAUAUACAUCAUAUAUAUAUAUUACGUAUAUCAUAUUCGAUGCUGCUCAAAGCGUGCAAAAUACAAUAUGAACUUAUUAUAUUGGCAGAUUUCCUUUUUUUAUUAUUAUUAUUCUGGAUCAUCAUGUAUAUUUGAAAAAAAGACAUAUUUUCUUCUCUCAAGCAUACACUCAACACUGCUAAUGUGCUAAAAAAAAAAAUAUUUUUAUAAACUGCUACGUCAAAGAAAAGCAGAUUAUUAAAAUUCGCAAUAUUCGUGAAC